rnacentral:rRNA from 1 species
CCACCACUAAAACGUCAGGUCAAGGUGUAGCUAAUUGGGGGGGCAGCGAUGGGCUACAUUUUCUAUUAAUAGAAGCCCCCAGCAGCAUGAAACAAUGCCAUAAGACGGAUUUAGCAGUAAACAGAGCAAGAAUCGCCCAAUUGAAGCUCGCCCUGAGACGCGUACACACCGCCCGUCACCCUCCUCAACAAACCAAAAUAUAAAGCUAACUAAGCCGCCCUUUACCCCAACCUUAGAUGAGGUAAGUCGUAACAUGGUAAGUGUACUGGAAAGUGCACUUGGCAAAAC